rnacentral:rRNA from 1 species
CACACCCGUUCCCAUUCCGAACACGGCAGUUAAGCUCUUCAGCGCCGAUGGUAGUUGGGGGUUUCCCCCUGUGAGAGUAGGACGCCGCCAAGC